AUUGAACGCUGGCGGCAGGCUUAACACAUGCAAGUCGAACGAGCGGCGGACGGGUGAGUAAUGUCUGGGAAUCUACCUUAUGGAGGGGGAUAACUACGGGAAACUGUAGCUAAUACCGCAUACCAUAGGCUGAGCCCAAGUGGGAUUAGGUAGUAGGUGGGGUAAAGGCUCACCAAGCCGACGAUCUCUAGCUGGUCUGAGAGGAUGACCAGCCACACUGGAACGGAGACACGGCCCAGACUCCUACGGGAGGCAGCAGUGGGGAAUAUUGCACAAUGGGCGCAACCCUGACGCAGCCAUGCCGCGUGGAUGAAGAAGGCCUUCGGGUUGUAAAGCACUUUCGGUGGGGAGGCGUUAACCGCAGAAGAAGCACCGGCUAACUCCGUGCCAGCAGCCGCGGUAAUUC
rnacentral:rRNA from 1 species